rnacentral:rRNA from 1 species
AUGAGCCAGCAAAUCCCGUCAGCAGGUGCUGGUGGCUCAAGCACUGCCUCAGUAGCAGCACCUGCACUCCCUCAAGUUGAUUCGGAUGACCCUGCGUGGAAGUAUUGCACUCUUCCAGAUGUGAACAAGAAGCAUUGGCAGCGAUGCAACUUUUGUGGCAAGAUAUGCACAGCUGGCAUUACAAGGAUAAAGUUUCACCUUUCACAAAUAACAAAUUGUGGUGUCUUACCAUGCAAGAAGGUUCCUAGUGAUGUCAGGCUGGAGAUGAUAGCUUUGCUCCUAAAGAGUGCUGAGCUGAAGGAAAAAAAGAUCGAGGGAUUGGAGGCGCUCAGAUCUAGUGUUGACUUAGAUCACUCCGAUGGAGAACAAGGAACUGAUGAAGAAGAUGGCAAUCAGGUUGUGAUUUUGAGGUCAAAACCAGGCACAAGCAGCUCAAUGGGUGGCCCUAUGGACAAAUUCUGCAAGCCUAGUAUAGAAGAAACUGUCAAGAGGAAGCAAAAAAGAAAUUGUGAAUCCGAAAAGGUUCAGUCGAAGUUGUCAACUCGGGAAAGACAACAGAGGAGGGAUAGAGCUUGUGGAUAUAUAUGUCAAUUUUUCUAUGAAGCUAGCAUCCCACAUAACACUGUCACACUUCCUAGCUUUGCAUGUAUGCUUCAGGCCAUUGGAGAUGUUGGCACAAACUUCGAUGGGCCUACUGCAUAUGAGAUGAGUGGACCAUUCUUGCAGAAAAGGAAGAAGAAAGUGUUAGAUUCAUUCAAACCACAUAAGCAAGCAUGGGAGCACACAGGUUGUACCGUAAUGACAGAUGCAUGGACAGAUAAAAAGGGCAGGGGGGUAAUGAACCUAGUUGUGCAUAGUUCUCAAGGAGUCAUAUUCUUGAAUUCAGUUGAUUGUUCAUCUGUCCAAAAAAAUGGCAAAUACAUCUUUGACCUCGUUGAUAAUUGCAUUGAAUAUAUAGGGGCAGACAAAGUCGUUCAAGUGGUGACCGACAAUGCUAGUGUCAAUGUAGCAGCAGCAAGUCUAAUGAAAGCAAAGCGACCUUCCAUUUUUUGGAAUGGAUGUGCAGCCCAUUGUAUUGAUCUCAUGUUGGAGGACAUAGGGAAGCUUGGAUCGGUUGACAAAAUAAUUACCCAAGCAAGACAAGUAACGGUGUUCUUGUAUGCUCACACAAGGGUGUUAUCUCUGAUGAGGAAAACACUUGGGAAAGACUUGGUACGGUCAGGUAUUACUAGGUUUGCCACGGCUUAUCUCAAUCUUAAAAGCUUGCAAGACAACAAGAAGGAAAUGCUUAAACUAUUCAGAUUGGAUGAGCUACAUGAAAUGGGUUACUUAGAGAAGGACAAGGGGAAGAUGGCUCACAAAACGGUGCAACCAGAAGCCUUCUGGAAAGGUGUUGGCGUUGCUGUCAACUACUUUGAGCCAAUGGCUAAUGUGCUAAGAAGAAUGGAUAGUGAUGUGCCCGCAAUGGGAUUCUUAUAUGGUUGUAUGUUGGAUGCAAAAAAGGAAAUUGCUGCAAGUUUUGAUAAUGACGAGAGUCGCUUCAAAUGUGUUAUUGAUAUCAUUGACAAGAGAUGGGACAGCAAACUCAAGUCGCCAUUACAUUUGGCUGGGUACUUUCUGAACCCCUACUAUUAUUAUCCAAACAAGGUUGUGAUAGAGAGGGAUGGAUCAUUUAGAGCAGCCGUGGUCCAUUGCCUCACAAGGAUGAUUGAAGCUCAAAAAACUCAAGAUGAGCUUAUUGAUGAACUUGACAAAUACGAGACGGAGGAAGAUUCCUUUGGAAUGGACAUUGCUGUAUGA